AGGGAUCCGAGGUUAAACUCCCCAACCCCUGUGAACAUACCUUAAUGUUGCCUCGGCGGAUCAGCCCGCGCCCCGUAAAACGGGACGGCCCGCCAGAGGACCCAAACUCUAAUGUUUCUUAUUGUAACUUCUGAGUAAAACAAACAAAUAAAUCAAAACUUUCAACAACGGAUCUCUUGGUUCUGGCAUCGAUGAAGAACGCAGCAAAAUGCGAUAAGUAAUGUGAAUUGCAGAAUUCAGUGAAUCAUCGAAUCUUUGAACGCACAUUGCGCCCGCUGGUAUUCCGGCGGGCAUGCCUGUUCGAGCGUCAUUUCAACCCUCAAGCCCCCGGGUUUGGUGUUGGGGAUCGGCUCUGCCCUUCUGGGCGGUGCCGCCCCCGAAAUACAUUGGCGGUCUCGCUGCAGCCUCCAUUGCGUAGUAGCUAACACCUCGCAACUGGAACGCGGCGCGGCCAUGCCGUAAAACCCCAACUUCUGAAUGUUGACCUCGGAUCAGGUAGGAAUACCCGCUGAACUUAAGCAUAUCAGUAAGCCGGAGGAA
rnacentral:rRNA from 1 species